rnacentral:rRNA from 1 species
UACGUAGGUGGCGAGCGUUGUCCGGAUUUACUGGGCGUAAAGCGCGCGCAGGCGGACUGAUCAGUCUGGGGUGAAAUCUCACGGCUCAACUGUGAGCGGUCCCUGGAUACUGUCAGUCUUGAGAUGUCUAGAGGAGAGCGGAAUUCCCGGUGUAGUGGUGGAAUGCGUAGGUAUCGGGAAGAACACCAGUGGCGAAAGCGGCUCUCUGGGGACCAUCUGACGCUGAGGCGCGAAAGCGUGGGGAGCGAACCGGG